UACAGAGGUCUCAAGCGUUGUUCGGAUUCAUUGGGCGUAAAGGGUGCGUAGGCGGCGCGGUAAGUCGGGUGUGAAAUUUCGAGGCUUAACUUCGAAACUGCAUUCGAUACUGCCGUGCUUGAGGACUGGGAGAGGAGACUGGAAUUUACGGUGUAGCGGGUGAAAUGCGUAGAUAUCGUAAGGAAGACCAGUGGCGAAGGCGGGGUCUCUGGACAGUUCCUGACGCUGAGGCACGAAGGCCAGGGGAGCAAACGGG
rnacentral:rRNA from 1 species